rnacentral:rRNA from 1 species
UUCAUAUCAAUAAGCGGAGGAAAAGAAACCAACAGGGAUUGCCUUAGUAGCGGCGAGUGAAGCGGCAAAAGCUCAAAUUUGAAAUCUGGCGCCUUCGGUGUCCGAGUUGUAAUUUGAAGAUUGUAACCUUGGGGUUGGCUCUUGUCUAUGUUUCUUGGAACAGGACGUCACAGAGGGUGAGAAUCCCGUGCGAUGAGAUGCCCAAUUCUAUGUAAGGUGCUUUCGAAGAGUCGAGUUGUUUGGGAAUGCAGCUCUAAGUGGGUGGUAAAUUCCAUCUAAAGCUAAAUAUUGGCGAGAGACCGAUAGCGAACAAGUACAGUGAUGGAAAGAUGAAAAGAACUUUGAAAAGAGAGUGAAAAAGUACGUGAAAUUGUUGAAAGGGAAGGGUUUGAGAUCAGACUCGAUAUUUUGUGAGCCUUGCCUUCGUGGCGGGGUGACCCGCAGCUUAUCGGGCCAGCAUCGGUUUGGGCGGUAGGAUAAUGGCGUAGGAAUGUGACUUUACUUCGGUGAAGUGUUAUAGCCUGCGUUGAUGCUGCCUGCCUAGACCGAGGACUGCGAUUUUAUCAAGGAUGCUGGCAUAAUGAUCCCAAACCGCCCGUCUUGAAACACGGACC